rnacentral:lncRNA from 1 species
AUGAACAAAGCUAGUGGAGGUGAUGGAAUUCCAGUAGAGCUAUUUCAAAUCCUGAAAGAUGAUGCUGUGAAAGUGCUACACUCAACAUGUCAACAAAUGUGGAAAACUCAGCAGUGGCCACAGGACUGGAAAAGGUCAGUUUUCAUUCCAAUCCCAAAGAAAGGCAAUGCCAAAGAAUGCUCAAACUACCGCCCAAUUGCACUCAUCUCACACGCUAGUAAAGUAAUGCUCAAAAUUCUCCAAGCCAGGCUUCAGCAAUACGUGAACCGUGAACUUCCAGAUGUUCAAGCUGGUUUUAGAAAAGGCAGAGGAACCAGAGAUCAAAUUGCCAACAUACGCUGGAUCAUCGAAAAAGCAACAGAGUUCCAGAAAAACAUCUAUUUCUGCUUUAUUGACUAUGCCAAAGCCUUUGACUGUGUGGAUCACAAUAAACUGUGGGCAAUUUUGAAAGAGAUGGGAAUACCAGACCACCUGACCUGCCUCUUGAGAAACCUAUAUGCAGGUCAGGAAGCAACAGUUAGAACUGGACAUGGAACAACAGCCGAGUUCCAAAAAGGAAAAGGAGUACGUCAAGGCUGUAUACUGUUACCCUGCUUAUUUAACUUCUAUGCAGAGUACAUCUUGAGAAAUGCUGGGCUGGAAGAAGCACAAGCUGGAAUCAAGAUUGCUGGGAGAAAUAUCAAUAACCUCAGAUAUGCAGAUGACACCACCGUUAUGGCAGAAAGUGAAGAGGAGCUAAAAAGCCUCUUGAUGAAAGUGAAAGAGGAGAGUGAAAAAAUUGGUUUAAAGCUCAACAUUCAAAAAGUAAGAUCAUGGCAUCUGGGCCCAUCAUGGGAAAUAGAUGGGGAAACAGUAGAAACAGUGUCAGACAUUAUUUUUUGGGGCUCCAAAAUCACUGCAGAUGGUGAUUGCAGCCAUGAAAUUAAAAGACGCUUACUCCUUGGAAGAAAAGUUAUGACCAACUUAGAUAGCAUAUUGAAAAGCAGUGACAUUACUGUGCCAACAAAGGUCCAUCUAGUCAAGGCUGUGGUUUUUCCAGUGGUCAUGUAUGGAUGUGAGAGUUGGACUAUGAAGAAAGCUCAGCACCGAAGAAUUGAUGCUUUUGAACUGUGGUGUUGGAAAAGACUCUUGAGAGUCCCUUGGACUGCACAGAGAUCCAACCAGUCCAUUCUGAAGGAUAUCAGCCCUGGGGGUUCUUUGAAAGGAAUGAUGCUAAAGCUGAAACUCCAGUACUUUGGCAACCUCAUGCAAUGA